CUGCUGUUAUACAGAAAGAAAAGAUAUAGGAGUGGAAAGCCUAUAUUAUGACGGUACUGUAUCAGAAAGUGACGGCAAACUAUGUGCCAGCAGCCGCGGUAAUACAUAGGUCACAAGCGUUAUCCGAAAUUAUUGGGCGUAAAGCGUCCGUAGGUUGUUUGUUAAGUCUGGAGUUAAAGACCGGUGCUCAACGCCGGCACGCUUUAGAUACUGGCAAACUAGAGUUAUAAAGAGGUAAGUGGAAUUUCAUGUGAAGCGGUGGAAUGCGUAGAUAUAUGAAAGAACACCAAUGGCGAAGGCAGCUUACUGGUUAUAUACUGACACUGAGGGACGAAAGCGCGGGGAGCAAACAGGAUUAGAUACCCUGGUAGUCCACGCCGUAAACGAUGAUCAUUAGUUGGUGGGGGAACCCUCGCUAACGCAGCUAACGCAUUAAAUGAUCCGCCUGAGUAGUAUGCUCGCAAGAGUGAAACUUAAAGGAAUUGACGGGGACCCGCACAAGCGGUGGAGCAUGUGGUUUAAUUUGACGAUACGCGUAGAACCUUACCCACUCUUGACAUCCCUUGCAAAGCUAUAGAGAUAUAGUGGAGGUUAACAAGGUGACAGAUGGUGCAUGGUUGUCGUCAGCUCGUGUCGUGAGAUGUUCGGUUAAGUCCUGCAACGAGCGCAACCCCUAUCCUUAUUUACUAACAUUAAGUUGAGAACUAUACGGAUACUGCUCAGGUAACUGGGAGGAAGGUGGGGAUGACGUCAAAUCAUCAUGCCUCUUACGAGUGGGGCAACACACGUGCUACAAUGGCCGGUACAAAGAGACGCAAUAUGGUGACAUGGAGCAAAUCUGAAAAACCGGUCUCAGUUCGGAUUGAAGGCUGCAAUUCGCCUUCAUGAAGUCGGAAUCGCUAGUAAUCGUAGAUCAGCUACGCUACGGUGAAUACGUUCUCGGGUCUUGUACACACCGCCCGUCACACCAUGGGAGCCGGUAAUGCCCAAAGUC
rnacentral:rRNA from 1 species